AGGGCGUGAGGGCAGCACUGGAGGGGCGCUUUUGACCUUGACAAUUUUCAAACAAACUUCAAAUUUGAAGGUUUAUAAAUAGGUUAAAUCGGGUUAGGUUAAAUGUUUUGAACAAUUUAUUAAACGGUUAAACGUUGAAUCAUACAUCGUAUCCUCUCUAUGGUGCUAAAUGGUUGAAAAUUACAACAAAAAGGACUAGCAAAGGUGAAAUUUUGCAAAAGGCACUUCUCGAUUUCCCAUUAACUGUUUCCCGAAAGGAAUUCUACAUCACCCCCUGUUCACGUUCCUCACCUUCAAAAGUUGUACAACUGUUUUCUUGUGUUCCCGACAUUACUCCUCGCGUGUUGGUGACUAUAAAAAGUUAGGUUAUAUUGGAAACAGCUUUUCCCGUUAAAGAGUGUAUGAAUUGGGAAAUUUAACAUUUUUUUUUGUAGCAAAAGGAAACAUUUGAAGGUAAGGAACGUGAUUAGGGGGUGGUGUAGAAGAAUUGUAACCAAACAGUUUGUGCGAAAUCGAGAAGUGCCUUUUGUAAAAUUUCACCCUAAUUAGCGCUGGAAGAAUAUAAAAAAACAGACAGUUCUUGUAUAACCAAAAUUUGCAAAAAUUGGUUUCAACACUUUAGAUAACAUUAAGUUUGCAACCAUUACUUUGUGGUUUUUAUCUUCACAAGGCAAAAAAGCUGAACUGGCAAUUGGCUCCAAUAACAAAGACUCCACCACAGUUCUUGGAUGAUGAUUUACUGGUAUAUGUUCCAAAAUAUCAAAUAUAUAUCAAGUCAAGCAACGGGGUAGAUUUUGCGGUGGUUAGUAAUGAAUCUAAACAAUUUUUGCAUUCUAACCUUUCUUCAAUUGUUCUACAAAUAUAUCCAGAUAAAAACGCAACUGAUGCAGAGUUGAUAUCUGUGAAAAUGGUAUUAACGAAUGUUAAUUUAUGAAGAUCUUUUAGAAGACUGAAUUUGACCAAUUUUACUCAGCAUAGUGUGCAGCCCUGGCAUCAGUAGCGUCCUGAGAACCACCGCAUAAUCUGACAUUGCUAAACAUCGAUUCAACUGCAUCUGAGCUAAAUGCUCGCGUCAAGACAUAGAAAAAGCCACUCUCUUCAAGUAAAUACUUGAUACAUUCUGCAGUGCUUUUGGCAGUGAAUUUUACUGCUUCUGCAGUCUCUUUAGUCAAUCCCGUCAUUUUAUUUGCCUUUGAACAUAAUUGAAUGGAAUCUAUAAAAGCAGGUAAAGUUUUUAACAUCCAUAGAAGGCGUUCAUCAUUAAUAUCUGUAUAUGGAGCACUAUUUUCAUUUACUUGCCGGAUGUGCUGAGUUUUGUCAUUGACAUCAUGAAUUUUAAAAAAUGUGUGCAUCAUUUCCAUAAACUUUAGAGUCUCUUCAACAUCAACAAAACCUGGAUUGUUAUAUUUUCCCAAAUACUCUAUUGCUGCUCUUACUUCUAUGGAAAAUACUUGCACAGCACGACGGACGUUCAUCUUUUCUAAAUUGGUUGGGCAAAUAUGCUUCCUGGUCAAAAACUUUACCGGUUUAACAAUUAAUUUGUGUUGCAUAUCAUAUAUUUUCUUUAAAAAUCGUGCAGAAAUAAUACCGUUACCAGAAUGCAUGUCAUGGUCCAAAAAUAUGUUCCUCAAAUUUUUAAUAAUAUGACAGUAAUCAAAGCUCAUAAAUAAUGGUAUUGUUGGUUCUAUUGGAUGUUGAAUAUGAGUCAUUAAAUUAUUACUUGAUGACAGAGAUUUGAAAAGGGCCACAUUUGACUUAUGGUUAUCUGUCACAAUUCUUAAAACCGUAAAUCCGCAAUUAUGUAAAAGUUUCAUUACUUUUAACGUCAAAUUCACAAAAUCUAUGUUUUUUAGAGUUCGAUGGAAGAAAUAUCCGGCGGGUAUCGUGUACUUAGUAGUCAUGCCGUGAACAACGUAACAUAACAUUUUGUUGGCCAACGUUGGUUUUUUUCCAAUUGUUUGACUACUCUCAUUGGUAGUCUCUAACCCAUAGAAUUUGUCUUCUGUACGGCUGUAACACAGUUUUUCCUUGAUGGACAUGUCGUCAACAAUUAAACUACAAAUCCUUUCAACGGGUUGUAGCACUUCGGCUUCUGCUUUCAAGCGUGCCUCUAUAAGUCCUGUAACAUCUUGUCCAUUUCCUAUAUACCGUUCUAAAGUACUUCGACUAGGUAAUUUCAAUAUAGAAGCUUUACCAUAGUUGUAUCCCUUUGGGGAUGAAAUCCUCCAGGCAAUACAUGAUCUUACAGUUACUUCUGACCAUCUAGAUUUUUGUUUGUUGUAAUUUAAUAUUUGGUCUAAUAGAAAUGUGGCUUUUGGGUCGUUAUUCUUAGCAUCAGCUUUAAUUUUUUCGAAUAUACGGGCUUGAUUCGUUUGAUUGUCAAUUUUUAAUUGCAGUUUUUGUAGCUGUUGAUUUUUCAGUUUGUUCUGUUUGUCCAAACGGUUUACUUUCAUUUUCAGUUUUUUGAUUUCAAGUUUAAGUUUUGAUAUAUCAUCAAGACGAAGAUCAGUAUUGGAACUUAAUGUUUGGGAUUCAUUAUAUAAGGACUCAGGUUCAGAAGGAAUUGUUGAGUGACUUAAAUCAGGAUUCUACAAUUUAAAAAAAUAUAAUUAAAAUUUAUUAACUGCCAAUAAAAUAUUACUGGAGGUUCUUCUGUCGAUGUUGGACACGUGGAUGUUGAUUGGGAGGGAGGAGAUAAUCUUGGAGUAACAGUACUCUAAAAUAAAUAAUUAUUAGAGGAAAGUUCUAAAAAAAGUGUGAAAAUAGGAAUAACGGAUGAUGAGGGCUUCAUAUUUAUAGGAGUAGAAGACUGGGCAAGAGCAACGAAGGAUUCGUGUAGGGAUGCGUAAUAAGCAUCAUCACCCUAUAAAAACUAUAAUUUUAUUUCUGUUAAGUUUAAAAUGUAAAUAAAUAUACAUGAAAAACUGUU